CCUACGGGAGGCAGCAGUGGGGAAUAUUGGACAAUGGGCGAAAGCCUGAUCCAGCCAUGCCGCGUGUGUGAAGAAGGCCUUCGGGUUGUAAAGCACUUUCAGUGGGGAAGAAAGCCUUAGGGCUAAUACCCUCGAGGAAGGACAUCACCCACAGAAGAAGCACCGGCUAACUCCGUGCCAGCAGCCGCGGUAAUACGGAGGGUGCGAGCGUUAAUCGGAAUUACUGGGCGUAAAGCGCGCGUAGGCGGUCUGAUAAGCCGGUUGUGAAAGCCCCGGGCUCAACCUGGGAACGGCAUCCGGAACUGUCAAGCUAGAGUGCAGGAGAGGAAGGUAGAAUUACCGGUGUAGGAGUGAAAUGCGUAGAGAUCGGGAGGAAUACCAGUGGCGAAGGCGGCCUCCUGGAAUGACACUGAAGCUGAGGUGCGAAAGCGUGGGUAGCAAACAGGAUUAGAUACCCUUGUAGUC
rnacentral:rRNA from 1 species